CGGCGGUGGGCGAGCCGUGCAGCAGCUGCUCCAGGCAGGCGGUGCUGGGCAGCGAGGAGCUCUUCUGGUGGGACAGCCAGUUCCGGGCAGCGGGGGAAACCGAGGCCGCGGCGGCGUUACUGAGAGUGCGGUGGAGGCAGAGACGGGGAUGCCCGGCCGGGGAGCGCGGGAGAGGCGGCGCGGAGAAGGGCUGCGGGUGCCCUGCCCGGGCGCCGCGCCCUGGGGACAUCCCCGGGGGUGACGCGGUGACAGCGGCCGCUGCCCGGUGACCUUGCGGUGCGGUGCCGCGGGGUGAGUCGCGUUAACAGCGUCCGUGCAGCGCGGUGAGCGCUACGGAACGCUCCGGCGGCUGUGCCGAAGGUGUCUGCAGGCAAAUCCGUCCUGUGGCGGCUGAGGGCACGCAGCACGCCUGGUUAUUGGAUCCAUCGCUCCAUUUUGGAUGCUUAAUGCCGCUUGAAGUUUCUUUUUUCAAUUAAAGAAAUACCAGCAGGAUGGUUUCAGAACAAACUGACAUGAAUAAAUACUUCUGUAUGAAGUGAGCCACACCUCUGCUUGGAUUUUGGCUAUCGUUUAUGUCCAAAUCACUUGC
ensembl:lncRNA